UCUAUGGGCCGAGAGCAUACAUUGCAACCCAAGGUCCUCUUCCCACCACUGUCACUGACUUUUGGAGGAUGAUUUGGGAGUAUGAAGUCCUGAUCGUGGUCAUGGCCUGCAUGGAGUUUGAAAUGGGAAAG